rnacentral:rRNA from 1 species
CUACGGGCGGCAGCAGUGGGGAAUAUUGCACAAUGGGGGAAACCCUGAUGCAGCAACGCCGCGUGGAGGAUGACGCAUUUCGGUGUGUAAACUCCUUUUGUAUCCCAAGAUAAUGACGGUAGGAUAUGAAUAAGCACCGGCUAACUCCGUGCCAGCAGCCGCGGUAAUACGGAGGGUGCAAGCGUUACUCGGAAUCACUGGGCGUAAAGGGCGCGUAGGCGGGUUGUCAAGUCUUGAGUGAAAUCCAACGGCUCAACCGUUGAACUGCUUGAGAAACUGGCAGCCUAGAGUAAGGGAGAGGUAGAUGGAAUUGGUGGCGUAGGGGUAAAAUCCGUAGAGAUCACCAGGAAUACCCAUUGCGAAGGCGAUCCGCUGGAACUUUACUGACGCUGAGGCGCGAAAGCGUGGGGAGCAAACAGGAUUAGAUACCCGCGUAGUC